rnacentral:rRNA from 1 species
GACGUAACAUGCUUAGCCCGAUCAGGUUACUGGUUGAGUGCCGAGUUGUGUUUGUCAUCCUUCUAGAGAAGACUAUUGCGCUUCACUGUGUGAUAGUACUAUCUAGAUCUUUUACUUUGAAAAAAUUAGAGUGUUUAAAGCAAGCUUUUGCUAUGAAUACAUUAGCAUGGAAUAAUAAUAUAGGACUUCGGUCUUAUUUUGUUGGUUUCUAAGACUGAAGUA